AAGCAUCUGUGAAAGUCUAUUGACCAUUUUUCUAAUGGGUUGCUUAUGUUUUUCUUUUUUAUUUACAGGAGAUCUUUAUAUAUUCUGGAUCUGGGUCCUUUGUUGGAAGAGCAGCUAUAUGAGCAACAUCUCAUGACUGAAAUACAUCCCAGCAUUAUGUAUGCAGCAAUAUUAGAUGAUGCUCCUCCUAGAGUUGUAUCCCAUAGGAGGUAGCCAGGCAAUCAGUACCCUCAGCAAAUCAGUGAUGACGGCAUCAAAAUUCCAAUAUUCAAACAGAUUUUCAAGACGGCUGACUAGAGGCACCCAGCACUUGGUUUCUCCAUAAAGAAGAACCAAAACAAUCUGCGAUGAUUAAGAACACCUGUGGCAACACCAAACAGAGCCCACAAACAUCGUGCUGAUGAGCAAGGACUAGGGAAGAAGAUGCUCAAGAAACAUCCAUGAAAACAACCAGGAGGGCUUUGAGAGAAUGCGGAGCUGGAGCUCGGAUCUUCCUUUCUGAAAAGCAUGAGAAAACCCAGAAGGCUCUGUCUUAAGAUAAAAAGACCAGGGACUUUCUAGGGGUCAUAAGGUUAACUUAUAACAGUCUUUGACAUCUGGAAAAUGAAAAGUAAACACCUGCAGUUCUCCAGUAGCAGCUAUAUGUUACAUGACAAAAAUGAGAC
rnacentral:lncRNA from 1 species